rnacentral:rRNA from 1 species
UACGAAGGGAGCUAGCGUUGUUCGGAAUCACUGGGCGUAAAGCGCACGUAGGCGGAUUUGUUAGUCAGGGGUGAAAUCCCGGGGCUCAACCUCGGAACUGCCUUUGAUACUGCAAAUCUCGAGUCCGGAAGAGGUGGGUGGAAUUCCUAGUGUAGAGGUGAAAUUCGUAGAUAUUAGGAAGAACACCGGUGGCGAAGGCGGCCCACUGGUCCGGUACUGACGCUGAGGUGCGAAAGCGUGGGGAGCAAACAGG